GUUAAAACUAGCUGAGGGAAGUAAUGACCUGAUAAUGUCCUAAGCAUUUCCUUCUUAUGAAUAUAGGACUUCUGAAAUUAUUUAAAAUUUGAAUAUAAAUAGUAAUUUUUAUAGAAAUUUUUAAUUACUUGUUUUUAUAAAUCUGUGAAAAUCUUAUUUUAUAUAAUCAAUUUCCUUUGAAUUACUUUUUAAAAAUAUUGUUUUUUAUUUUAAAAAUUCUAUCAUUAUGUCAUUUUACUUUUUCAUAUAUAUGUUCUCAGAUUGGCAGAAAAAAAUAGUAUUAGAGAGAGGAGGAAAUGAAGUCUUUGGCUAAGUCACUGGUUCAGGCCACAAAGGAGUAAAUUCCUGAUUUCCUGCUCUGCCAGACAUUCCUAAAUGACCUGAUAUAUGUUUUUUUUUUUUUUAUUAGAAUUGAUGUAAGGUAUAUGCAAACAGGGAACUACACCAAUUAAAAAGUGAGAAGACAAACAAAAUCUAAAAUUAACUGAAGAAUUUUAUGGCAAUAUUAUCAAAAAAUAGAGGUGUUUUUGUAGUGAGGGAUGAGGUAGUUUGUAGGCAUGCAGAAAGCACUAUAAUAUUUUGCACCAAAUUAUAUUCUUGAUUUUAAUCCAGUUUAUUUGCAUUAGAAAUUAGAUGCCAAUUUUCAAUUUUCUAUAAAAAUUCACAUGAGUAGAAUAUCACACAAGUGUUAGGAAACCUCAUCUACUUUAUCAUCAAGAUAAAGAACUUCUUGGUACAUUUCUCACCAACUUCUAUAUGAAAUCUAUUGUGCCAGCAAUCCUUUGUUGUGAAAUACCUGAGAUUAGCAACUUAAAUAGAGGAGUGAUUUGUUUUUCGUUUACAAUCAUUGGCUUUGGUCUGUGCAUAAAUUGUUCCUUGCUUUCUUGACCAGUGGUGAGGUAGAACUUCGUGAUAUGGAGUAUGUGGUGGAACAAACAUGUUCACUUCCUGCUAGCUGGGAAGCUAAAAGAGAGGGGAAGGGACCAGAGUCUCAAUAAAACUUUCUUUUUUUUUUCCCACAAAGGGAACAAGAGAGAGUUUAUUCAGGGGCCCUUUUGAAUGACCAUGUCCAGGGAACCUGUUAAAGUUAGUAAAAUACAGUGGUGGAUACAUCAGAAAGACCAGUACAGCAAGAUGAGGGAGGCCUUACAAUGGUCUCCAGGUGCUAUCUUGUCGCAUUCCUAGCUUCUGGAUUGGUAGAAGCUAAUAGUUAACAGAUUCCAGAAGGUUUCAUCUAUUAUCACAGGAUGUUUGUUCCAACAUAGACAUGGGCAACGAAUAGCUGCUCUGGGGCUAAAACUAGCCCGAUACAAGGUAACUGGGCCCUGAGCCUCCAACAUUCCUUAAAACUUUCAAAGCAUGAAAACAACUGUGUGGCUUGCUUCUUCAGGAGUCUACAUUAUAGACAUUCCAUCUCUUUCCAACAGUGUCUCAGUCCUGCAACCUUACAUAUGCUCCUUUGGGGACUGUGUACAAUCUAUACUGUUAAAAUUACAAUAUGAGACUGCGAGCCAAAUAAACACCAAUCUCACUCUGGCCUGAAAUAUAUUUCUUCUAAAACCAGGAGGAAAGUAAGUUGAUAAUAUCACCCCUGUGCAAGUGACUUUGUAAUUCUGCUAAAAUACUGUAUGGCAGUGCAGGAGAUUUAGGGCUUUCUGGGAUGAUUUAUGUUCACUAAAUCUGGCAAGCUGUCAUCCCGAGGCAUAUUUACGGAUUCGGUGUCUCCGCUACUGCUCUUCUUGCGGGGAAGAAACAUCUCCCGGAUCCACGCUCUCUAGGAGGAAAGGAAGUGGUACCGCACAUUUUGAUGCUAUUUUUCAAGGUUUACUUCCCAUUGUUGAAACUUUAUGAAGGCAAAAUACAGAUCCUUGUAUCAGCAUUUAAUUCUUUAUAUAAACUAGUAGAGAAGCCUGGUCCCUGAAGGGGAAACAUGGUGCCUUGAAUCC
rnacentral:lncRNA from 1 species